CCCGUUGAAUUUAAGCAUAUCAAUAAGUGGAGGAAAAGAAAUUAACAAGGAUUCCCCUAAUAACGGCGAGCGAACUGGGAUCAACCUAGCUUGAGAAUCGGGCAACCUUCGUCAUCCGAAUUGUAGUCUGUAGAAGCAUCCUCAGCAACGGACCGGGCCCAAGUCCCCUCGAAGGGGGCGCCAGAGAGGGUGAGAGCCCCAUCACACCGUAGAAUCCCAUGGUUUUCAAAACCGGACUGGACCGAAAAAAUUGGUAACCGGUUAGCCAUCCAGGUCUGGUUUUACUAGAAACUAGAAAAUUGAAAAAAAAAACGUUGAAA
rnacentral:ncRNA from 1 species